rnacentral:rRNA from 1 species
GAUGAACGCUGGCGGCGUGCUUAAUACAUGCAAGUCGAGCGAACAGACUAGGAGCUUGUUCCUCUGACGUUAGCCGCGGACGGGUGAGUCACACGUGGAUAACCUACCUAUAAGACUGGUAUACCUUCGGGAAACCGUAGCUAAUACCGGAUAAUAUAUUUACCCGUAUGGUUUUAUAGUGAAAGACUGUUUUUCUGUCUCUUCUCGCUGGAUCCGCGCGUGAUUAGCUUGUUGGUAAGGUAACGGCUUACCAAGGCAACGAUGCGUAGACGACCUGAGAGGGGGGUCGGCCGCACGGGAGGUGGAACGCGGACAAGGGGCCUGAGAGAGGGAGCAGAAGGGAAUGGGAGGCAGUGGGCGGAAGCAUGACGGAGCGAGGGAGAGCGAGAGAUGAAGAUCUGCGGAUAGGAAAAAUGUGUUAUGGGGGAAAAACAAAUGUGAAAAGAAAAAAGCACGAAGUGACGGUACCUGAUCAAAAAGCAACGGCUAACUACGUG